AAGAAAAUAAUGCAAACAGCUAACUCAAUUUCAUUUUACAGCUUAAAGUCUGUGUUUACAGAAAAGUUCCUUCUGUUGCUUUUCCAUAGGCUCUUUAUUCCCGUCAGGUGAUGAACAGAGGAUGAACAGCUUAUGGACCUUAGGUUAUGGGCAUAAUAAAUGUUCAAAACACUUCCAAAAUACAUGCAAAUGACAAAGCUUUACUCCUGAGUGAGACAACAGCCUGUGGUAAACGCAUGUGAUCCUGAAGUUGAAGAUCAUGCCAUGUUGCUAUCCUUAUUUCACAAAAUUUUGGGAAGAUCAUUGCUGUUCUACCUCAUGGCUUAAAGGAAGGGGGAAGAAGCUCGGACAUCACCUGUGAGACUGCUCAGCUCUUAUUGGAGCUCCAUGGUGUUGGAUGCAGCUAAGAGCAACUCAAAGAGUCAGAUGAAGAUGCCAAGAGGAGUAUUUUCACAGAACUGCAGAAUGACAGGAACGGUGAUUGGUAUUUCCCAAGGUCAUCUAGUCCAAAACACCAGUUUGAAGUGUGAGUAUUGCAUAUCCUUGGCCAGACCAGCCAUGGCUUUGUCUUGCUACCUCUUGAAAACCUCCAAGGAGGAAGAUUCCUCUUGGUAUAAUCCAUUCUAGUGAUCCACUGCCCUCAUAGUGAAAAAUUCUUUCCUAAUGUCCGAUAUGACCUUCCUCACAUGCAAUUUGCUUUUUUGCUUGACACAACUGAGAAGAAUUUGAGUAAAUUAUCCCUUGAAGUAGUUGUAGGUACUCCUUCAGCCCUCUCUCUGUCACACUGAGGAAGUUGCAACCUCUCUUCAUAAGAAUAUGAUCCAGACCCCCAAACUGAACACUGUACAAUAAUUUAUAAUGUAAAGCUUUUCUUCUAAUAUAUUUGCAGUUCUUCUCAGCUUGUUUUUGUCAACAGACUUCCUAUGCACACUGUCUACUCCUCCAUUUAGUUCAUGAAUAAAUAAAAAAUUAACAGCA
rnacentral:lncRNA from 1 species